rnacentral:rRNA from 1 species
GUGGAGAAUCUUGCACAAUGGGCGAAAGCCUGAUGCAGCCACGCCGCGUGAGGGACGAAUGUCUUCGGAUUGUAAACCUCUUUCAGUCGUGAAGAAGCGCAAGUGACGGUAGCGACAGAAGAAGCCCCGGCUAACUACGUGCCAGCAGCCGCGGUAAUACGUAGGGGGCAAGCGUUGUCCGGAAUUAUUGGGCGUAAAGGGCGCGUAGGCGGUCCACUAAGUCGGAUGUGAAAUCCAGGGGCUCAACCCCUGAACUGCACCCGAUACUGGUGGACUUGAGGUAGGUAGAGGAGAGUGGAAUUUCUGGUGUAGCGGUGGAAUGCGCAGAUAUCAGAAGGAACACCGAUGGCGAAGGCAGCUCUCUGGGCCUUACCUGACGCUGAGGCGCGAAAGCAUGGGUAGCAAACAGGAUUAGAUACCCUGGUAGUCCAUGCCGUAAACGAUGGGCGCUAGGUGUGGGGAUCAGUUCACGAUCUCCGCGUCGAAGCUAACGCGUUAAGCACCCCGCCUGGGGACUACGGCCGCAAGGCUAAAACUCAGAGGAAUUGACGGGGGCCCGCACAAGCGGCGGAGCAUGUGGCU